GAGUCUUAGUAAACUGGCAGAAAUACUUUGGGAAAUGAUCGAGUUACAUUCGCUUAAAGUUUGAAAUGUUUCAAAUUCAGGCGUAAUAAAUUUACAAACAUGUUUAAGGAAUUGUUGUAUAUUUUUAUUUUAUCGAAUCUAAUCAGGAAUUUCGUGCAAUUUACAUUAAAUUAUUGAUGUCAUCUCAAGCCGCGAUGAACCCAUCAAACAGGAAUCGGAUUAGCUCACUCCAAGAAGGAAAAAGAAGUGGCAAAACGCACGACUUGCGAUUGACAAAUUAAUGCGGAUCAGAAAUCAACACCUCAACAUGUUUAUCAUAUCAAAAAAUACAAGCGAAAUGGAGAAUUCCGAACCCAAACCCAAAUCCAAACCCUACCCAAACCCAAAGAGAGAUAGAGAGAGGAGAGCUGUCAGCGCUGGCGUUGAAAAUUAAUUAAAAACAUCAACAGAAUGCGUCGAGAUUUACAAAAUAACUGCGUUGAGGCUUCUGGAAUUAGUGCGGAUAAUUUCAGAACGGAUUGCAGUUGGUUUGGCUGGCUUGGCUGCUGCUACUGCUGCUGUGGUGGGUGUCGCACCUUGGCGUGGCAGGCGAACCGCAAACCGAGCCAUCAUCCAUUCAUUCAUGGUCCACGAACCCUGAACGGUCUCUAAUCAGCAACCCUUUUCAGAGUGCGACACGAAGCGAACUCAUCGCAGCAAUUUGGGGUCCUUGGCUCAGCCAGAGGAUGGCGAUGGCGAUGGCGAUGACGAUGACGAUGACGAUGAUGAUGAUGAUGAUGAUGUCACUCUGUGUAUGGCUGACAAAACGCUUGACUGAUUACACUUGUAUCUGUUUUGGUAGCGGACGCGUGUGUCCCGUGUCGCAAUUGUCGUUUCCCAAAUAUGUUCAAGGAUUUUAAAUUGUUGAUUCUCCCUCUCUCCCCCUCUCUCUCUUUCUGUCUUUCAGCUACUAGUUAGAUUGUGCGCUUGUGAUAAAUUUGGUUUAUUGAAAGGCGUCAGUGCGUGAAAUGAUGUGUGUCAAUUGCAUGAGUGAGUGAGCCAUGACUACGGCCGGGGCCUGGGCCGGGGCCGUGCGACUUUUUCGGCUUUGGGUUGAGUUGACAGCGAUUAUGCAAAUCGGACGAAGAACUGCAUUAAUUCCUGCGGCCAUGUCACUCCUCGCCGAGAUAAGCGUGGCUGGGGAGCAGCUUGUGGUCGCGUAUCUUGAGCUGAGGCUGAGGCUGCGGCUGCGACUGUGGAGCUUUAAGUUUUGGCAUUGCGCAAAAUUUGCAUUGUCUUGCGGCAUUUGGCAACAAAUCUCGAAUGCAAUUUAUAUGCAAGAGUCAAGUCAAGUCGACACUUCCUAAUGAGCAAUUAAGACUUGAUGAAUUUUCCAAUUAAAUUGCCAAUAAAUCGCGCACAUAUGCGCACUUGGGAACGUGGCUCAUUAUUGUUAA